AAGACCUUGCGCUUUUGGAGCGGCCGAUGCCUGAUUAGCUUGUUGGUAAGGUAAAAGCUUACCAAGGCUUCGAUCAGUAGCUGGUCUGAGAGGACGGCCAGCCACACUGGGACUGAGACACGGCCCAGACUCCUACGGGAGGCAGCAGUGGGGAAUUUUGGACAAUGGGGGCAACCCUGAUCCAGCCAUGCCGCGUGAGUGAAGAAGGCCUUCGGGUUGUAAAGCUCUUUCAGCCGGAACGAAACGGUUACGGUUAAUACCCGUGAUUACUGACGGUACCGGAAGAAGAAGCACCGGCUAACUACGUGCCAGCAGCCGCGGUAAUACGUAGGGUGCGAGCGUUAAUCGGAAUUACUGGGCGUAAAGCGUGCGCGGGUGGUUUUGUAAGUCAGAUGUGAAAGCCCCGGGCUCAACCUGGGAACU
rnacentral:rRNA from 1 species